rnacentral:rRNA from 1 species
GCUUACGGCCACACCGCCUGGUUCACACUUGAUCUCGGAAGCUAAGAUAGGUUGGGCCUGGUUAGUACUUGGAUGGGAGACCGCCUGGGAAUACCAGAUGCUGUAAGCU